UUUUUCGCAUUAUUUUCGCAUUAUUUUGUCAAAAAUGUACGUUGAAAAAGUAAAUUUAAGCUCAGAAAAUGAAAAAAUAACAAGCUUAGAUUUUCAACCGAAUAGUAAUUUGAAUAGGCUAGCCAUUUCUAGCUUACAUCAAAUUAAAAUAUAUUGUGUUCCGUUUUGUAAAAAUUCAUUAAAGAAUGAUUCAAAAGUUGAGUUGUUAUUCAUAAGCAAUGAUCACAACUUAGUUUAUAUUAAUACAGUCCGUUGGAGUUUUAAUGGCCAUUAUUUGGCUAGCUGCGAUAGUGGAGGUACAUUGGUUUGUUAUGAACAGGACAUAAAUAAAAAUUAUAUAAAAAAAAAUAUGCAACAAAUAACAAAUAAUGAUAAUAAUAAUAAUAAUAAUAAUUACAAUAGUAAUAGUGAUUGUAAUAGUACUAGUAAUGAUUAUAAUAUAAUAAAUAUGAAAAAUACAAAUGUAACUUUAUUAACAUCGACAAAUUAUAACAAUAAAGAAGAAUGGAAAAUAACAAAAUGUAUAAAAAUACAUGAACAUGGUGAAAUAUUUGAUCUUGCUUGGUCAUAUGAUAAUGAACAUGUUGUAUGUGGUGUUUCUAAAGGAAUAGUAUAUAUUUUUAAUCUGCAAAAAUCAUGCAUUUCUCAUAAAUUAUUUGUAAAAGGGACAUCCGAAAACAUAAAAGGAGUUUCAUUUCAUCCAACUAACAAUUCGAUAAUAGCUCAAAGUAGUGAUAAUAUUAUGUGUUUGUGGAAAAAAGUAAAUAUUUAUUCUGAACAAAAUGAUAUAAAUUUAGGACAAAAUAAAAAAAAUUAUGGACAGAGUCAACUACAACUUGAACAAAGUAGACAACAAUACGAACAAAGCAAAUUACAAUAUGAACAAAGUAAGUUACAAUACGAACAAAGAAAAUCAUUAUAUGAUCAAAAUAAUCAAAGUUUAGGUUCACCAUCUUCAAUACUACCAUCUUCAAUACUACCAUCUUCAAUACUACCAUCUUCAGUACUACCAUCUUCAGUACUACCAUCGCCAGUUUACGAAUAUACCAGCUCAGAUAGUAAUACACAAAAAAAUAAAAAAUUAAUAAAAGAAUAUUUUGAAUAUGUAUAUGAAGAAAACAUGAAUAAAAAUUAUAAAAAUAUUGACACACCAACAAUUCGUCAUAUUUAUUUUGAUACAUUUGGGAAAUAUGCUAGUAUAACGCAUAUACCAAGUAAUGGUAACAAUUGUGGCGUUUUAUUAAAAAUAAUUAAUAAUUUAUAUGUACAUAAGAAACGUGUAUUUUUAAAUGGUCAUGGUAGUUGUAUACGGUUAGCUAAUAUAGGCAAAAAAAUUUAUAUAGAUGGAAAAAAAAAAAAAAAAUUAUUUAGUUUAUAUUGCCAAUGUAGUGACAAUGGUAUUAUAUCUUUAUGGAAAAUUUUUUUAAAACGAGUAAAAAAAAUAAAAAACAAAUUAAAUGCGAUGGAGCAUAAGUGUAAUGAAAAUUUUAAAAUGCGCAAAAUGGACAGAACGGACAAACUGAAAAAAAUAGGAAACGAGUGUAUUGGCAGUGAUAUUUCUGAAGUUUAUGUUAGUGACAAUAUUGAUAUAAAAAAGGAGCAGAGCAAUAAGCUGGAAAUGCAGCAUGUGAAUAAACAACAGAAUAGUAAAAAUGAUAAAAAUAGUAAAAAUGAUAAAAAUAGUAAAAANNNNNNNNNNGAUAAAAAUAGUAAAAAUGAUAAAAAUAGUAAAAAUGAUAAAAAUAGCAAAAAUGAUAAAAAUAGCAAAAAUGACAAAAAUGACAAAAAUGACAAAAAUGACAAAAAUGACAAAAAUGACAAAAAUGACAAAAAUGACAAAAAUGAUACAAAAAAAAAUAAUGAAAGUGACAAAAAUGACAAAAAUAACAAAAAUAACAAAAAAAAAAAAAAANNNNNNNNNNNNNNNNNNNNNNNNNNNNNNNNNNNNNNNNNNNNNNNNNNNNNNNNNNNNNNNNNNNNNNNNNNNNNNNNNNNNNNNNNNNNNNNNNNNNACAAAAAUGACAAAAAUAACAAAAAUAACAAAAAAAAAAAAAAUAAUAAUAAAAAGAAUAAAUAUGCAAGUUGUUUUAUUAUUUUUCAAAAUUUGUUAGAAGAACAAACAUGUGCUGUUGACUUAAGCUGGUCAUACAAAUUUGAUCAGUUAGCUAUUGGAGCAUCCAAUGGAACUGUGUUUAUUGUACAUAUUGAUACAUCUACUCUGAAUUUAAAACCUUUUUAUUAUAAAAAAUAUGUAGCUCUUGACGAAAUAGAAAAUAAGUGUGAUAAAAAAGUUAAAGAUGUGGAUUUAAGCAAAGCAUCUGAUAGUGUUGAUGUACACGUUAAGCGUAUGAUAGUUAAGCGUGUUCCUACAAAACAUAUAUCGCAAAUACCGAAAGUAUCGCAAAUACCGAAAGUAUCGCAAAUANNNNNNNNNNUAUCGCAAAUACCGAAAGUAUCGCAAAUACCGAAAGUAUCGCAAAUAUCGAAAGUAUCGCAAAUAUCGAAAGUAUCGCAAAUACCGAAAGUAUCGCAAAUACCACUAAAAUUAGUAGAUAGUAUGUCUAUAACAAAAAGUAGUGUUAUAGAUUAUAUUGAAAAAGAAACACACUCAUCAAAUAUUAAUAUAGCCGAUAUAAGUGAAAGUAAUAUAAAUAUAAAAGGUAAAACUACAAAUUGUCAAAUUAAAAAACGAAUUAAACCAACAAUUAAAUGUUUAUACGAUGAAGAAGGAAAUGUUAUAAAUAAUUGUAAAUCAAACGAAAUUAUACACAUUCUAAAAUGUACUUAUAACGUACAAUAUGAUUAUAUAGAUAUAUAUAACAAAAGAAAAAUGCCAUUAAUAUUUUUUAAACCUCCUCCAAAAAAUAUAAUAAGUUCUUUUGUUAAUACAAAUGUGGAACUUUGUUCAAUUAUUAAUUUAAUUAUUUAUGUUUUUUUGAAUGUUGCUAAUAAUAUAAUGAACUAUUUUUAUUAUAUAACUAAAGUAUGUAAAAUUCAUAUGGGAAAUAAUUUUGUGUUUGAUACUGUACCUGUUUGUAAAUUUACUAUAUGCACAUGUGCAGGAACUUUUGAUGAUUAUGCAAAAGAUGGUAACAUAUGUGUAGUAUGUAUGUCUGAAGAAAAGCGUGCAAUAGGUGACUAUACUUACAAUUUAAACGAGUGUUCAAGUGGUGAUGGUGAUGGUGGUAAUGGUAGUAAUGGUGGUAAUGGUAGUAAUGGUGGUAAUGGUAGUAAUGGUGGUAAUGGUAGUAAUGGUGGUAAUGGUAGUAAUGGUGGUAAUGGUAGUAAUGGUGGUAAUGGUAGUAAUGGUGGUAAUGGUGGUAAUGGUAGUAGUAGUAAUAGUAGUAGUAGUAGUAGUAAUGAUGGGGGUAGUGAUAAUGAUGGUGGUGGUGGUAGUAGUAGUAGUAGUAGUAGUAGUAGUAGUAGCUACAGUAACAGUAGCGAAUCCGGUAAGAAAAGUAAAAAAAAUGACAUCGAUAAUAUAAAUAAUAAAAACAAAAAAAGUAUAAAUAAAAAAAUAUAUAAUACAAAUAAAAAAAAAAAAAAAAAAACAUUAAUAAAUAUGGAUGUAGAAGAAUAUAGUAACAGGACGGAAACAGAAAUGAAUGAAAAAUAUUUAGAAUCGAGUACAAAAGAGAUUUUAGGUGAAAAUACAGACAGAAGCGAGAACGUAGAGAUAAACAGUGGUAUGAUCGAAAGCAUAACUAACGAAAGCAGAAUAAGUGAAGAUAGAAUCAGUGAGAAUAGUAUUAGUAAAAAUGAAACUACAAGUUUUAUAAAAAAAAAAACAAACAAACAAACAAACAAACAGAACGGAAUGGACGAACAGGACGAAAAUAUAAAAACUAAAAGGAGUAGCAAAAGUAAUAGAAGUAGCAAAAGUAAUAGAGAUGGUAAAAGUAAUAGAGAUGGUAAAAGUAAUAGAAGUAGCAAAAGUAAUAGAAGUAGUAAAAGUAAUAGAAGUAGUAUAAACAGUAUAAUUAGUAUACAUAGCGCAAAUAGCAUAAAUAGUAUAAAUAGUAUAAACAGCGUAAAUAACAUAAGUAACAUUAAAAAAACUAAUAAAAUUAAUAAAACAAAUAAAAUAAAUAAAAUUAAUAAAAUUAAUAAAAUUAAUAAAAUAAAUCGAACAAAUAGUAUAAAUAGUAUAAACAGUAUAAAUAGUAUAAACAGUAUAACUAGUAUAAAUAGUAUAACUAGUAUAAAUAGCGCAACUAAGAAAAGUAAAAAAAAUAAAAUAAAUAACAUAAAUAACGUACAUAGAAAAAAUAGAACAAACAGUAUAAACAGUAUAAAUAGUAUAAAUAGCAAAAGUAGUAAAAGUAGUAAAAGUAGCAAAAGUAGUAAAAGUAGCAAAAGUAGUAAAAGUAGCAAAAGUAGCAAAAGUAGCAAAAGUAGCAAAAGUAGCAAAAAUAGCAAAAGUAGCAAAAAUAGCAAAAGUAGCAAAAGUAGCAAAAAUAGUAUAAAUAGCAAAAAUAGUAUAAAUAGCAAAAGUAGCAAAAAUAGCAAAAGUAGUAAAAGUAGCAAAAAUAGCAAAAGUAGCAAAAAUAGUAUAAAUAGCAAAAAUAAUAAUUCAGAUUUAGAGUGGGAAAAUUUCAUGCCACAUAACACUCUGAUUUCUCCUUGUUUUAUGAAUAAUAAAUAUGAUGAAGAAGAAGAAAAAAAAAAAAAUAUAAAAGUAGUACCAAAAAAAGGUAAAGAAGAAAAUGGUAAUAUUAAUAAUAAAGAUAUGAAACAUAUACAAAAAAAAAAAAAAAAAAUUGUUGAAAUGAAUAAAAAUAAAUCCUCUUCUUUAUUAAGUAAAAUGGACAAAGAAUGUAAUGAAAAUAUGAAUGAUCAUAAUAAAAAUGAAGCAAGUGAUUAUCACCUUAUAUAUCCUAUAUAUAAUGACAAAAAUGAUUAUAAUAAAGAUAGUGGUUAUGACAGUAAUAAUAAUAAAAAAACUUUAACUAAUAUUGUUCAAAAUAUAGAUCAUAACACAGAAAAUGAUAUAAAUAUAUAUACUAGUUAUAAUAAAAACUCAAAUAAUAAUAGAAUAAAUCAUAUUUUUAAAAAUAAUAUCUCACAAAACAGUAACAUACGUAUUAAAGUAGAAAAAAAUAUUUCAGAAAAUGUACAAAGAGAUAAAAUAAAUGAAUUAAAAAAUAGUAGCUAUAAUAAACCACCAUUUGAUGAGUAUACUAAAAAAAGUGCACUAAACAACAAAAAAGUCCUAAAUAACAACAAAGUCCUAAACAAUACUAAUUUUUUAAUGCAUAAAGAGAUUGUAAAAAAUAGAGAAACAAAAAUUAUACAAAAAAAUAUUGAUAGAAUGAGACAUAUGAUGAUAAAAAAAAAAAAGUUACAAACAAUUGAUAAAAAUAGUGACAAAAAAAGUGACAAAAAAAGUGACAAAAAAAGUGACAAAAAAAGUGAUAAAAAAAGUGACAAAAAAGGUGACAAAAAAGGUGACAAAAAAAGUGAUAAAAAAAGUGACAAAAAAAGUGACAAAAAAAGUGAUAAAAAAAGUGAUAUGAUUAUUCGUAAUGCUUUUAAUGAACUGUGUAUAGAAACUUAUAUUAAUAAAAUAUUUUUUUUUGAUAAUACAAAAAAUAAUUGUACAAUUACAUGUAUGAGUAAUAGUAACUAUAAUUCUAUGAUUAAUUUAUGUACAUAUUUAGAAAAUUAUACAGAUAGUAAUAAUGCCCAACUAUAUAACAAAGGUAUAUAUUUUCUUUGGAAAGAUACAUUGGAAGGUAAAAUAAUUCACUAUUUUAUUUUUAAUUACCACAUCUUUAUUAUUAAUUAUAAAUAUAAUAAUAUGUUUUUGAAUAUAUUCAAUACAGAAAGUCAAUUAAUUGUUUAUGAUUAUAUAUUACCUAUUAAUAGAAUAACCAAUUUUUUUGUUAUAAAAUUUAUACAACUUGAAAAUAAUGAAUAUGUUUUUUUUUGUAUCCAUAAUAAUUAUAUUUAUUAUAUAUACCAACUAUUCAAUUACUCGGACAUUGUUAUUUUAUAUACAUUUAAUGUUAGUAAUUUAAAUGCGGAUGUUGAUUCAAUUCAAAUUAAUAUUAUUGAAAACUUAGAAAACAAUAAAAAUAUUUUUGAAAAAAAAAAAAAAAAAAUUAUUGACAAUUAUAAACAACAUAUUAUUAAAAAAAAAAAAAAAAAUAUACAACAUAUGGGAAAUGGGUUAGAUAAUACUGAGGUAAAUGGAAAUUAUAUAAAAAAUAAAGUACAAAGUAUGAUUUUUUAUGAACAUUUGGGUUCGUCAACUUUUUCGGAUUCGUCAGUUUUGUCGGAUUCGUCAGUUUUGUCGGAUUCGUCAGUUUUGUCGGAUUUACCAGAUUUGUUGGAUAUAUCAGAAAAUAUGUCAGAAAAUGUAUGUCGUGAAAAAAAAAAAAAAUAUACAACAACGAUGGACAGUAAUAACUGUGAUUUGGGGAAUUUGUACGAGCAUGAAUCUAUCAAAAAUUAUUUCGACUGGAGAAAAAAAGAAGAAAGAAUAAAAUUGGGUAAAAGAAGUCUAUCUAACCAAUCAAAGCUAAACAGUACAAACAAAAUAAGUAAAAAAUAUUUAAUACCUCCCCUACAUAUAACAGAAAAUAACCAUAUUUUGACAAGAACAUCUAGUAAUAAAUAUCACAAAUUAUUAAAAAUAAAAAAACGAAAAAACAAUUUAGAAGAUUAUAAAAAAAAAAAAAAAAAAAAAAAAAAAAAAAAAGAUGUUAANNNNNNNNNNNNNNNNNNNNNNNNNNNNNNNNNNNNNNNNNNNNNNNNNNNNNNNNNNNNNNNNNNNNNNNNNNNNNNNNNNNNNNNNNNNNNNNNNNNNAAAAAAAAAAAAAAAAAAAAAAAAAAAAAAAAAAAAAAAAAAAGAUGUUAA
rnacentral:lncRNA from 1 species